AUUGAACGCUGGCGGCAGGCCUAACACAUGCAAGUCGAACGAGUGGCGGACGGGUGAGUAAUGUCUGGGAAACUGCCUGAUGGAGGGGGAUAACUACUGGAAACGGUAGCUAAUACCGCAUACCAUCAGAUGUGCCCAGAUGGGAUUAGCUUGUUGGGGGGGUAACGGCUCACCAAGGCGACGAUCCCUAGCUGGUCUGAGAGGAUGACCAGCCAAACUGGAAAUGAGAAACGGUCCAGACCCCCACGGGAGGGAGCAGUGGGGAAUAAUGCACAAAGGGGGCAAGCAUGAUGGAGGCAUGCCGCGUUUAAGAAGAAGGCCUUCGGGUUGUAAAGGAAUUUCAGGGGGGAGGAGUUAACCGCAGAAGAAGCAACGGCUUAAUCCGUGGCAGCAGCCGCGGUAAUUC
rnacentral:rRNA from 1 species